UACGUAGGGGGCGAGCGUUGUCCGGAGUUACUGGGCGUAAAGGGCGCGCAGGCGGUCUGGUAAGUUUGGAGUGACAGUGCUCGGCUUAACUGAGCAAGGCCUUCGAAAACUGUCAGACUUGAGCACUCAAGAGGGACAUAGAAUUCCGGGUGGAGUGGUGAAAUGCGUAGAAAUCCGGAGGAAUACCAAAGGCGAAGGCAGUGUCCUGGGGAGUGUCUGACGCUCAGGCGCGAAAGCUAGGGGAGCGAACAGG
rnacentral:rRNA from 1 species